rnacentral:lncRNA from 1 species
GCCACUAAGGGCAGCACUCGGUGCUCUGCCAAGGGAACCUGGGAGUCUGAAGCUGCGUCUGGCGCCGGACUGUUGGAAGGCUGUGCGGUUUCUUUUGGGCUUGGUGCCUGGUUUAUUUUAGGUGCUGGGUCUGCAGGCUAGUAGGCUGACCUUCCUUGGCUGUUCCCCAGGGAGCAGGCUACCAGGGUCCUGCUGUGUCUGCAGCUACAGGGUACAAUUUCCACAGCAUCCAGACGGAGUCGUGGUGAGAAUGGAUAAGAUGACGUACGAGAAAACACCUGGUAUGGUGCCUGGAACAUGCUUUUGGAAGGAUGUGUGCAGCAGUGUGGAGGAGUGUAGCCCGGACGAGCGAGCACACAUAUUUGGAAACAGAGACCUGUGCUUCACUGCAAUCCCUCCACUUAUGAGCCGUGUUGCCUUGGGCAAGUUCCUGAACCUUUCUUUGUGGCCAGCUCCUCAUCUAUCAAGUCACAGCACUUACCUCCUGAGAUCAUUGUGAGAAUCUAAUGAGCUAACGUACCUGAAGAGCUUGGUGUAGAUGAGCAUGGCCACCUGGGAGCCAUGUACUAAAGAUGGCAGAAUCUCAAGGUGGAAAGAUCCUGGAUCCCUCUGCCACUUGGAGAAAAAUGGCCUGCGAAUCUGGAAAACACAUUUUACACUUUUUUGUGAACAACAAAUAAACUUCUGCC